UGGGGAAUCUUGCACAAUGGGGGAAACCCUGAUGCAGCGACGCCGCGUGAGCGAUGAAGCCCUUCGGGGUGUAAAGCUCUUUCGGCAGGGAAGAAUACUGACGGUACCUGCAGAAGCAGCUGCGGCUAACUACGUGCCAGCAGCCGCGGUAAUACGUAGGCAGCAAGCGUUGUUCGGAGUUACUGGGCGUAAAGGGUGUGUAGGCGGUCUUCUAAGUUCGGUGUGAAAUCUCCCGGCUCAACUGGGAGGGUGCGCCGAAAACUGGGAGGCUAGAGUGCGGGAAGGGAGAGUGGAAUUCCUGGUGUAGCGGUGAAAUGCGUAGAUAUCAGGAGGAACACCGGCGGUGUAGACGGCUCUCUGGACCGUAACUGACGCUGAGACACGAAAGCGUGGGUAGCAAACAG
rnacentral:rRNA from 1 species